UAAGGUCCCAAGUCAGCUGGCCUUAAGAUACAGAGAUUUUUGUGGCAGAGGCAUGCAUGAUGCAAACAGGACAGAAGUGUGUGGCUAUGCUGGAAACCACUGAGGACACAUGGCCAGGAGUGGCUGAGUUUGCAAGAGGACUCCUACCUCAGCUGAGAAUUGUAACCUUGCAGACACACUGAUUGACACUGAGAGACCUGAGCAGAUCAACCUGACCUGCAAUACAGAUUCUUGAUCCAUGUGAGACAGAAAAGUACCUGGUCAUCACCCUGAAAUGAAAGACAUCCACUCUCGGUGUGGCACUGUGAAUAUGCUACACAGAUCUUCUGAGUUUUGCCUUCCUCAUCUAUAAAAUGGAAGUAAUAACGCCUAUCUCGUGAAGUUUUGUAGAACCCAAAAGAUAAUAAAGACAUAAGACCAG